rnacentral:rRNA from 1 species
UACGUAGGGGGCAAGCGUUGUCCGGAAUCACUGGGCGUAAAGCGCAUGUAGGCGGGAUAUUAAGUCAGGUGUGAAAACUAUAGGCUCAACCUGUAGAUUGCAUCUGAAACUGGUAUUCUUGAGUAUUGGAGAGGAAAGUGGAAUUCCUAGUGUAGCGGUGAAAUGCGUAGAUAUUAGGAGGAACACCAGUGGCGAAGGCGACUUUCUGGCCAAAAACUGACGCUGAGAUGCGAAAGCGUGGGGAGCAAACAGGAUUAGAUACCCUGGUAGUCCACGCCGUAAACGAUGGGUACUAGGUGUUGGGUGUCAAAGCUCAGUGCCGCAGUUAACACAAUAAGUACCCCGCCUGGGGAGUACGGUCGCAAGACUGAA